rnacentral:rRNA from 1 species
CGGCGGACGGGUGAGUAACGCGUGGGUAACCUGCCUCAUACAGGGGGAUAACAGUUAGAAAUGACUGCUAAUACCGCAUAAGACCACAGCACCGCAUGGUGCGGGGUAAAAACUCCGGUGGUAUGAGAUGGACCCGCGUCUGAUUAGCUAGUUGGUAAGGUAACGGCUUACCAAGGCGACGAUCAGUAGCCGACCUGAGAGGGCGACCGGCCACAUUGGGACUGAGACACGGCCCAA